AAACAUUCUUUUGUUUCUUUCAGACAAUUUGCUUCCUACUAAUGGGUAUUUCUCAGCAAAACUUGUGGUCUUGUAUCAUUUGUGUGAAGGCAGUGGUUGGAAGUAGACAUCUAUCUUUCCCCGAAAGACAGAUUAGUCUUCUGAUAAUUCUUCAAAGGUGGAUUUCAAUACAACAAGCAUUUCUGUAGUCUUGCCUGAGUCAAGACUGAAUAUGUUGUUUUGCCAUUUGGACAUUCUUGUAAGACUUAGGAAACUGGUUUGAGCCUCUGUCCCACAACAAACUUUAGAGGAUAAAACAUUUCUGUCAUCUUUCAUGGAGGUCUUGGUGAGUGAAUAUGUGUACAAGAUUAUUAGAUAUUCAAGUUACUGAAAACAAUGGAGGCUGUACAAGAAUGUGCGAGUCAAGUUCUGCUUCAUUCAGAUGUUCAUUCGGUCAACGUUUGGGUAGAAUUUACUGUGUCUGUAGAAAAGAACAGGGACUUAAUAGACCCAGGGCACUUUCACAGGUGACCUGUGUCUAGUGUUGGCAGGAGAGAUCUCUUUCCUCCAAAAGGUGCUUGAUUUCAGUACCUGUUCCACAAUCUUUGCCUGAAGCCACUUUCACUUGCAACUUGAUAAUGGGAAGGAAAAGCCAUCAAGAAAAUAAAAAGUAUUAGCAGUUUGCAUCAACAUAUUCAGAUGCUUAUAGCCUUUUGUUUGUAAUAAAGAAAGAGCAAGACCUGACUAAAUGUCUCUUAUACUUUUUCUCAAAUUUUAUCACUGUUUAUCUUUUUAUCACUUACAGAGAGACAGGGAUCCCUUGUCAGGUUGCUUCUUUUGUUGAGUCUUCAAUCUUGUAAAAACCUGCUCAGCUGUUCCCUUUUCAUCCCAGGAUAACAAAAAAGGUCAAGUUGAGAAUAUGAAAUCCUACUCAAAUAUAUGCAGUAGUUUGUUACUAUGAAAGCUCUUCAAAGGAUUCUAGAACUGGACUCUAGCAAUAAGCUCUUAAUGAUCUCUUUAAAACCAGGCAUUGGACUGUUUUUCUACUGCACAAAAAUAUGUACAAGAUUCAUUUUUGAGCAGAAUUUAUCAAGAUGUCCCAAAAUGCAUGUUUUCUGUUGUCUAUAUUGGAAGUUUGUGGUGAGGUGCCUGCCUUCUCCUUGGAGGACUGCUGUAUAAGGAGUUGAAAACUUCUAGAAAUGUUCUGUAGAACAACAACAACAACAACAACAACAACAACAACAUCUGUCAGACUCUCCACUUGGUGGUUGCCACCAAGGACUUAGUAGUGAAUAUAGUGUUUUUGUUUCUUCAGAUCUAUAUCUCAGAUUCGUUACUCCAGAUUUGUUGAUAACAGAAUUACUGUAAUAUCAUUAAUUAUGAACUCAAACUUAC
rnacentral:lncRNA from 1 species